AUAUUACAGAUUUUUUUUUUUUUACCUUUAAAUUAAUAUAUUUAAAAACUAUUGCAAGUCAGGUAAUAAUGGGAAUUUCUUAAUGGUCAUUAAAUAAUAAAGUUAUUUAUUUUAAAAAAAUAUAUAAUAAAUAAACAUAAAAAUGUAGAGUAUCAAUCCUGACAGUAUUUGUUUUAAACAUUGUUUUAAAUAUUGAUUUCAUGUAGGUUAUUUUUUAUGUUUUUUUCUUCUAUAAAAUAACCAAAUCACAAAAAGCAGGGUUUUGACCUGAAUUUAGACUUUUUAACGCGAUCAAUGCAUAAUUAAUAUAUUUUAAUAACUAAUUAAUAUUUAUAGUAUUUAAUGCAUUCAUGCGGUGCAAUUAAUGUUGUAUGGAAUAAUGUGUUAAAAUGAUUCAUGCAUUUAACUAAUUUUACAAAUAAUAACUGACUGUGUGUUUUCCAUAUUCAGCAGACAGGUAGUGAUGGUAUAAUAUCAAAUGUGGUAAAGAUGAUCAUUUCAAGAACUUGUUUCACUGUGAGAGACUGUAUCUGUCUUGUCUUGUGAUUGUGGAAAAGAGCAGCAGUGAGAUACCUCCAGGUUCCUCUGAGAUCUGGUGCUCUUGUGCAUGUCUUGUUUUGGUGUGUGUGUGUGUGUGUACAGUAGUGACACUGUGUCUCCUCUGGUCUCUCUUACACAGGUGUGUGUGUGUGUGUGUGUGUGUACAGUAGUGACACUGUGUCUCCUCUGGUCUCUCUUACACAGGUGUGUGUGUGUGUGUGUGUGUGUGUGUGUGUGUGUGUGUGUACAGUAGUGACACUGUGUCUCCUCUGGUCUCUCUUACACAGGUGUGUGUGUGUGUGUGUGUGUGUGUGUGUACAGUAGUGACACUGUGUCUCCUCUGGUCUCUCUUACACAGGUGUGUGUGUGUGUGUGUGUGUACAGUAGUGACACUGUGUCUCCUCUGGUCUCUCUUACACAGGUGUGUGUGUGUGUGUGUGUGUGUGUGUGUGUGUGUGUACAGUAGUGACACUGGGUCUCCUCUGGUCUCUCUUACACAGGUGUGUGUGUGUGUGUGUGUGUGUACAGUAGUGACACUGUGUCUCCUCUGGUCUCUCUUACACAGGUGUGUGUGUGUGUGUGUGUGUGUACAGUAGUGACACUGUGUCUCCUCUGGUCUCUCUUACACAGGUGUGUGUGUGUGUGUGUGUGUGUGUACAGUAGUGACACUGUGUCUCCUCUGGUCUCUCUUACACAGGUGUGUGUGUGUGUGUGUGUGUGUACAGUAGUGACACUGUGUCUCCUCUGGUCUCUCUUACACAGGUGUGUGUGUGUGUGUGUGUGUGUGUGUGUGUGUACAGUAGUGACACUGUGUCUCCUCUGGUCUCUCUUACACAGGUGUGUGUGUGUGUGUGUGUGUGUACAGUAGUGACACUGUGUCUCCUCUGGUCUCUCUUACACAGGUGUGUGUGUGUGUGUGUGUGUGUGUACAGUAGUGACACUGUGUCUCCUCUGGUCUCUCUUACACAGGUGUGUGUGUGUGUGUGUGUGUGUACAGUAGUGACACUGUGUCUCCUCUGGUCUCUCUUACACAGGUGUGUGUGUGUGUGUGUGUGUGUGUGUGUACAGUAGUGACACUGUGUCUCCUCUGGUCUCUCUUACACAGGUGUGUGUGUGUGUGUGUGUGUGUGUGUGUACAGUAGUGACACUGUGUCUCCUCUGGUCUCUCUUACACAGGUGUGUGUGUGUGUGUGUGUGUGUGUGUGUACAGUAGUGACACUGUGUCUCCUCUGGUCUCUCUUACACAGGUGUGUGUGUGUGUGUGUGUGUGUGUACAGUAGUGACACUGUGUCUCCUCUGGUCUCUCUUACACAGGUGUGUGUGUGUGUGUGUGUGUGUGUGUGUGUACAGUAGUGACACUGUGUCUCCUCUGGUCUCUCUUACACAGGUGUGUGUGUGUGUGUGUGUGUGUGUGUGUACAGUAGUGACACUGUGUCUCCUCUGGUCUCUCUUACACAGGUGUGUGUGUGUGUGUGUGUGUGUGUGUGUACAGUAGUGACACUGGGUCUCCUCUGGUCUCUCUUACACAGGUGUGUGUGUGUGUGUGUGUGUGUGUGUGUGUGUACAGUAGUGACACUGUGUCUCCUCUGGUCUCUCUUACACAGGUGUGUGUGUGUGUGUGUGUGUGUACAGUAGUGACACUGUGUCUCCUCUGGUCUCUCUUACACAGGUGUGUGUGUGUGUGUGUGUGUGUGUACAGUAGUGACACUGUGUCUCCUCUGGUCUCUCUUACACAGGUGUGUGUGUGUGUGUGUGUGUGUGUGUGUGUGUGUGUACAGUAGUGACACUGUGUCUCCUCUGGUCUCUCUUACACAGGUGUGUGUGUGUGUGUGUGUGUGUGUGUGUGUACAGUAGUGACACUGUGUCUCCUCUGGUCUCUCUUACACAGGUGUGUGUGUGUGUGUGUGUGUGUACAGUAGUGACACUGUGUCUCCUCUGGUCUCUCUUACACAGGUGUGUGUGUGUGUGUGUGUGUGUGUACAGUAGUGACACUGUGUCUCCUCUGGUCUCUCUUACACAGGUGUGUGUGUGUGUGUGUGUGUGUACAGUAGUGACACUGUGUCUCCUCUGGUCUCUCUUACACAGGUGUGUGUGUGUGUGUGUGUGUGUGUGUGUGUGUGUGUGUGUGUGUGUACAGUAGUGACACUGUGUCUCCUCUGGUCUCUCUUACACAGGUGUGUGUGUGUGUGUGUGUGUGUGUGUGUACAGUAGUGACACUGUGUCUCCUCUGGUCUCUCUUACACAGGUGUGUGUGUGUGUGUGUGUGUGUGUACAGUAGUGACACUGUGUCUCCUCUGGUCUCUCUUACACAGGUGUGUGUGUGUGUGUGUGUGUGUGUGCAGUAGUGACACUGUGUCUCCUCUGGUCUCUCUUACACAGGUGUGUGUGUGUGUGUGUGUGUGUGUGUGUGUGUG